GACGGAUUCUCGCUCUGUCGCCCAGGCUGGAGUGCAGUGGCAUGAUCUCCGCUUACUGCAACCUCCGCCUCCCGGGCUCAAGUAAUUCUUGUGCCUCAGCCUCUCGAGUAGCUGGGACUACAGGCAUGUGCCACCAGGCUCAACUGGUUUUUUGUAUUUUUAGUGGAGAUAAGGUUUCGCCAUGUUGGCGAGGAUGGUCUCUAACUCCUGACCUUGAGUGAUCUGCCCGCCUCUGCCUCCCAAAGCGCCCGCCACCACCCCCAGCUAAUUUUGUAUUUUUAGUAGAGAUGGGGUUUUGCCAUGUUGACCAGGCUGGUCUUGAACUCCUGAUCUCAGGUGAUCUGCCCACCUUGACCUCCCAAAGUGCUGGCAUUACAAGUGUGAGCCACCGCGCCCGGCCACAAUAGGAUCUUGGUACUUCCUUUAUCCUUGCAAGUCAACCUGCAAAGAAUGGAAAUCUUCUACUAGGGGAAGAACCAGAAAAACAUCAGGGAGAUAGGUUUUCUGGGCAUAGGUAGGCAGAGCACUAGGGAGAAGGAGUUCCCUGUUGCGGCUGGUGGAGAGCGUCCUGAAUGGUGUCAUCACCUCCACUGUCUGGACUCACAAGGUCAUGAGAGGUCAGGAGUGAGGGAUGCCCUGUCACCAAGCCACCAUUCCAGUGCCAAGCUGGCCUCCCCAUCACGUCACAUCAAUGUUUAAAAGAGGAGAGGCUUCAGAUAAUCUACCAUGCCCAAGAUGUCGUAAGAAAACUUAGAGGGUUAUGUUUAUAGACAUAGUGAAAUAUAUUUUUUUAAUUACUAACCUUACAUGCAUCUGCUUUAGCAAGGAAAAAAAAAUUCCCCCAAAAGACUCCUUCAAAAUCAUGGGAAUAAGAAACAAAGAGGCCAAUGACCCCAUAACUUUAAAAGCAUACAUGGUGCCAAGCAGCCCAAAAGUUAGCCUUCUGAUACCAGAGUCAGCAUGUGCUGACUGACUCCCCUUCAUUUCACGCUUCUCUUAAAAGAAAACAGGCUGGAUUGUUUCAGUAAAUAACAAAAGGUCAGAGAAACGCUACUCACAACAUGAGCAAAAU
rnacentral:lncRNA from 10 species